ACAUCCAAACCAUUUUCUGAUGGUGAACUUAUGGAAAAAUUCUGAAGGCUGCAGAAGUCUUGUGCCCAAAAAAGCAGCCGACCUUUGCCAAGAUAAGUCUGUCAAGGAUUACGAUUGCAUACAACAUCUCUGAGGAGACUUGGGCACUAAAUGAAGGAAUCCAAUAAUUUGUUGUAUUUCCAGUCACUAUUGAUGAAAGUGUAACAGGACGUGAUCAGUUCAUUUUAAUUACACAAAAUAUUGACUGUCUCUAAGUUUCUUUCCCCCCCUUGUAUUCUGUGUUGGGUUUUGUAGCCCCUCCUUAAUGUGUUCUUCUUCACUGGUUUUCUCUUUAUAAGGUUGGCACUUUCUUUCCCUCUCUCCUUUUUGUUUUACUGUCCAGCGGGAGAGGAGCUAAUACGGGAUGCUAACACCGUGAUUUCUAUUUUCUUUUUGGAAAAUUGUCAGAUACGCAAUAAACGGAGGUGGUCUCCAAGGGUG